AUGCAUGUCUAAGUAUAAGCACUUGUACUGUGAAACUGCGAAUGGCUCAUUAAAUCAGUUAUCGUUUAUUUGAUUGUACUUUACUACAUGGAUACCUGUGGUAAUUCUAGAGCUAAUACAUGCGAAAAAUCCCAACUUCUGGAAGGGAUGUAUUUAUUAGAUUAAAAACCAAUGCGAAUUUUCGGAUUCGUUUUCUUGGUGAUUCAUGAUAACUUUUCGAAUCGCAUGGCCUAGCGCCGGCGAUAUUUCAUUCAAAUUUCUGCCCUAUCAACUGUCGAUGGUAAGGUAGUGGCUUACCAUGGUUAUAACGGGUGACGGAGAAUUAGGGUUCGAUUCCGGAGAGGGAGCCUGAGAAACGGCUACCACA
rnacentral:rRNA from 1 species